AACGAACGCUGGCGGCAGGCCUAACACAUGCAAGUCGAGCGGGGGCGCAAGCCCUAGCGGCGGACGGGUGAGUAACGCGUGGGAACGUACCCUUUGGUUCGGAAUAGCCCUGGGAAACUGGGAGUAAUACCGGAUGAGCUCUUCGGAGGAAAGAUUUAUCGCCAAAGGAUCGGCCCGCGUUGGAUUAGGUAGUUGGUGGGGUAAUGGCCUACCAAGCCGACGAUCCAUAGCUGGUUUGAGAGGAUGAUCAGCCACACUGGGACUGAGACACGGCCCAGACUCCUACGGGAGGCAGCAGUGGGGAAUCUUAGACAAUGGGCGCAAGCCUGAUCUAGCCAUGCCGCGUGAGCGAUGAAGGCCUUAGGGUUGUAAAGCUCUUUCGUGG
rnacentral:rRNA from 1 species